rnacentral:rRNA from 1 species
AGCUUGCUACCUGACCUAGCGGCGGACGGGUGAGUAAUGCUUAGGAAUCUGCCUAUUAGUGGGGGACAACAUUCCGAAAGGAAUGCUAAUACCGCAUACGCCCUACGGGGGAAAGCAGGGGAUCUUCGGACCUUGCGCUAAUAGAUGAGCCUAAGUCAGAUUAGCUAGUUGGUGGGGUAAAGGCCUACCAAGGCGACGAUCUGUAGCGGGUCUGAGAGGAUGAUCCGCCACACUGGGACUGAGACACGGCCCAGACUCCUACGGGAGGCAGCAGUGGGGAAUAUUGGACAAUGGGCGAAAGCCUGAUCCAGCCAUGCCGCGUGUGUGAAGAAGGCCUUUUGGUUGUAAAGCACUUUAAGCGAGGAGGAGGCUACUUGGAUUAAUACUCUAGGAUAGUGGACGUUACUCGCAGAAUAAGCACCGGCUAACUCUGUGCCAGCAGCCGCGGUAAUACAGAGGGUGCGAGCGUUAAUCGGAUUUACUGGGCGUAAAGCGUGCGUAGGCGGCUUUUUAAGUCGGAUGUGAAAUCCCNGAGCUUAACUUAGGAAUUGCAUUCGAUACUGGGAAGCUAGAGUAUGGGAGAGGAUGGUAGAAUUCCAGGUGUAGCGGUGAAAUGCGUAGAGAUCUGGAGGAAUACCGAUGGCGAAGGCAGCCAUCUGGCCUAAUACUGACGCUGAGGUACGAAAGCAUGGGGAGCAAACAGGAUUAGAUACCCUGGUAGUCCAUGCCGUAAAAGAUGUAUACUAGCCGUUGGGGCCUUUGAGGCUUUAGUGGCGCAGCUAACGCGAUAAGUAGACCGCCUGGGGAGUACGGUCGCAAGACUAAAACUCAAAUGAAUUGACGCGGGGCCCGCACAAGCGGUGGAGCAUGUGGUUUAAUUCGAUGCAACGCGAAGAACCUUACCUGGUCUUGACAUAGUAAGAACUUUCCAGAGAUGGAUUGGUGCCUUCGGGAACUUACAUACAGGUGCUGCAUGGCUGUCGUCAGCUCGUGUCGUGAGAUGUUGGGUUAAGUCCCGCAACGAGCGCAACCCUUUUCCUUAUUUGCCAGCGAGUAAUGUCGGGAACUUUAAGGAUACUGCCAGUGACAAACUGGAGGAAGGCGGGGACGACGUCAAGUCAUCAUGGCCCUUACGACCAGGGCUACACACGUGCUACAAUGGUCGGUACAAAGGGUUGCUACCUAGCGAUAGGAUGCUAAUCUCAAAAAGCCGAUCGUAGUCCGGAGUUGGAGUCUGCAACUCGAC